UACGUAGGGCGCAAGCGUUGUCCGGAAUCAUUGGGCGUAAAGCGUGCGUAGGUGGCUUCGUAAGUCCGUUGUGAAAGUCAAAGGCUCAACCUUUGAAAGCCGAUGGAUACUGCGGAGCUAGAGUACGGAAGAGGCGAGUGGAAUUCCUGGUGUAGCGGUGGAAUGCGCAGAUAUCAGGAGGAACACCAAUGGCGAAGGCAGCUCGCUGGGACGUGACUGACAGUGAGGGACGAAAGCGUGGGGAGCGAACAGG
rnacentral:rRNA from 1 species